rnacentral:rRNA from 1 species
CCUACGGGGGGCUGCAGUGGGGAAUAUUGGACAAUGGGGGGAACCCUGAUCCAGCCAUGCCGCGUGUGUGAAGAAGGCCCUCGGGUUGUAAAGCACUUUCAGUGAGGAAGAACGCCUGGUGGUUAAUACCCAUCAGGAAAGACAUCACUCACAGAAGAAGCACCGGCUAACUCCGUGCCAGCAGCCGCGGUAAUACGGAGGGUGCGAGCGUUAAUCGGAAUUACUGGGCGUAAAGCGCGCGUAGGUGGUUUGAUAAGCCGGUUGUGAAAGCCCCGGGCUCAACCUGGGAACGGCAUCCGGAACUGUCAAGCUAGAGUGCAGGAGAGGAAGGUAGAAUUCCCGGUGUAGCGGUGAAAUGCGUAGAGAUCGGGAGGAAUACCAGUGGCGAAGGCGGCCUUCUGGACUGACACUGACACUGAGGUGCGAAAGCGUGGGUAGCAAACAGGAUUAGAUACCCUUGUAGUC